rnacentral:rRNA from 1 species
AGAGAGAGACAUGCGCGCAUAUCAAUAAGCGGAGGAAAAGAAACUAACAAGGAUUCCCUUAGUAACGGCGAGUGAAGCGGGAAGAGCUCAAAUUUGAAAUCUUCAAGGUUUUACCUUGACGAAUUGUAGUUUAAAGAAGUGUUUUCUGCUGAAGUUUUGGUAAAAGUUCUUUGGAAUAGGACAUCAUAGAGGGUGAGAAUCCCGUAUUUGACCAUUAUUUCAGCUUUGUGAUACACUUUCAAAGAGUCGGAUUGUUUGGGAAUGCAGUCCAAAAUGGGUGGUAAAUUUCAUCUAAAGCUAAAUAUUGGCGAGAGACCGAUAGCGAACAAGUACCGUGAGGGAAAGAUGAAAAGAACUUUGAAAAGAGAGUCAAACAGUACGUGAAAUUGUCAAAAGGGAAGCGUUUGACACCAGUGUUGUUUUCUCGAAAAUCAAUUAAAAAUGGCUCGAUUUUGUAUUGUUGAGACCUUAAAAGCUCACUGUACAUUUUUCGUGUCUUUUUUAAUGCACUUUUCGUUUAACAAGUCAACAUCAGUUUCUUUUGUUGUAAAAGGGUCAUUGGAAGGUGGCUUUCUUUUCGGAGAAAGUGUUUAUAGCCUUUGGCCUCUGCAAUCGAAGAGACUGAGGUCUGCAGCGUAGACUCUUCGGGGUUAGAUACAUUUGUGCUAAGUUAUAGCUUUUUAUAGACAACUUGUUGACUAUAAUUAGUCUUGUAGCUUACUCGCUUAUGCUAUUUUACCUACGCUUAGGAUGUUGAAGAUGUAGCACAUCAU